rnacentral:lncRNA from 1 species
ACUUCUUAUUAUGGGGAGGCAAAUGUUUUGUUUCCAAAAAACCUCUGGUUGCAUGGGAUUCGAUAUGUCUUCCUAAAAUGGAAGGGGGUUUGGGUUUUAAAAAUUUAGAAGCAUAGUACCUGACUUUACUCUCUAAGAACUUGUGGAACAUUCAAUCCAAAAAAGACUCAUUGUGGGUUUGAUGGGUACACCAGUACUACCUGCAAAACACCUCGAUAUGGGAAUAUAUUGGAAAGAAACAAGACUCAGCAAUGAUGAAACAAGUGCUCCUCAUUGGAGAUAAGAUAUUUGCAAUGGAGGGAUCUAUGCAGGCAGUGAGCAAUAGAAUGGGGUAGUAGAUUUUGGAAGGUAGGUUCUGCUCAAAAUUAGGUUAUGAGUCCUUCAGACCUCGUAGGGAGAGAUCACCACUUGGCCAAAGAUGGUCUGGAGUAGUUGCAUAAUGCCUAAGCACUCAUUCAUUCUAUGGCUGGGAUUGAAGGAUAAAUUACUUACAAGGGACAAGAUACAAGAAUUUUCUGAGGACACGAGUUGCCCCUUGUGUACCAACCUAGAUGAGUCAGUUGACCAUUUGUUCUUUCAAUGCAACGUGGCCAAGCAGGUGUGGUUAUGUGUUAAACAAUGGCUGAGCAUCUCUCGUUCUAUAUCUACCUUAAAGGCUGCUACUAAGUGGAUCUUUAAAGAGGCUAAGGGAACGGGGAUUCAAGCUAGGGCCAAGAAAAUAGGGCUUGCAUGCGUAGUUUAUUACAUUUGGGAGGCCAUAAAUGAGAGGAUAUUUGAAGAGGUAAUCAAACAUCUAAAGGAUAUCUUUAGGCGUAUCCAAAUUCAGGUGUAUAGAGUCUUAUAUAACCUCUAUCCAGGCAUUGCUAGAAUCUAAUGGUGAUGUGAUUCAAUCCCCUCAUUCAUACCUUGUUGCAAUCCUCCUAUAGUGUUUGAGGCUUCCACUAUCUUGAGGGAGGCUGGAUCCAAUGCUGCUUAAAGUUGGUCCAGGGUUUGCCGAUGAUGGGCUUUGAGAUAUAAGGUCCAUUCCUGGGUGAUGGAUGUUGCAGGUUUUGCUCAGAGAAUCUGGUGAUGUGCUAUGUUCAAAGUCUAGGUAUGGUCAUUGGCUUAUUUGGAGUAGUGCCUUUGCUGCUGUGGUUGAGGUCUUCUUAGGCCAGUUCAAUUUUGAGCUGAGGCCAAGAUCCUUCAAAGUCCUCCCCCACCCCCACCCAAAAAAAAAAGAGGUCAUAUGUAAUUUUCUUCUUUCCUUUGGCUUGGCCUUGGUUAGGGAGCCCAAAUUCAAGUGGCUUGAGGCAAGUUUUUUUUUUUUGGGGGGGGGGGGGGGCAAUGUCCAGCCCCCCCUCAACCCCAUUCCCCUUCCCAAGUCGAGGCUAUAGGUCCCCCCUCCCCCCGUUCUAUCCCUACCAGUAAUGUUAAAAAAUAAAUAUACGAUGAAUGAAAAAAUCAUAGUUUUCUUUCCUCUUCAUCUUUGAUUCUGGUACGAAGCCAAACUUGCCCCUCCCCUUCUUCUUUGAUUCUAGUGUGAAGUCAAACUUCUCCCUCCCCUUCUAUAUUCUUGUUUGAUUUAUCUGUUAUUGCUUUGAGAUUAAUUGUUGUCUGGCAUCAAAUUUGAUAUUAGAGCCGAAUCGAUCUCUGCUGUCACCAUAACCCACAGACCUAUUUUCAAUCAUCACCAUCUGUUGCCACUAACUAGCCUCCAACGUGCCUCACCUGAGUUCCAACAGCACCAAUCAAACUCCGACGACCACGAUUUGACCCAAUCAAACCUCGAUUUGGUCGAAUCGGAUCUUCACAGCCAUAUUCGAGUUUCGGAUCAAGUCAAAAGUGCUCCAAAUUGAUUUUUGACAGCACCAUUGUGUUCGUAUCAACGAGACAAAGCUCCGAAAACAAACCAUGUAUCCAAACUCCAACGCAAAGUGAACUUCGGCACAUGAGAUCUACUCUCACCACGCGCCUCACGUGCCUCCAAAGAAGAAAACAAGUGGGCUUCACUCAACCACGCGCCAUUCAUCCAUGUCAGUGCCACGCCUGCAUCUAGUUAGCACUUAGUCAUCCACCAUGUCAACGCUGACUCGUCACCCACGUCAUUGCUUUGUCAUCGUCACGUCAGCAACAGAAUAUUCCAGCAAUAUUCCCUCUGUCUGAUAAAUUACACUUUCAGUUCUCAAAAUUUGAAAUACUUUAUAAUUUGGUCCCUCAACUUUGAAAAAAUUACAGCUUGCUCCCUUAGUUUUGGAAAAAUUACAUUUUCGUUCUCGAAGUUUCAAAAAGUGACAUUUUGGUCCCAAAAUUUUUUAAAUUAUAGUUUGAUCCCUAAAGUUUUAGAAAUUACAGUUUGGUUCCCAAGUUUUCUGAAAUUACAAAACAGUCCCUAAAGUUUCAGAUAUUGACUUCCAAUUCAUUGGUUAGAAAUUCCGAUGGACAUUCCAGAAUCCCUGGAAGUACACUCUAUAGGGAGCUAAAGCGAAAAUUAAAAGAGAGAAAGAAUCAGUUUGUUGAAAUU